CUACGGGGCGCACCAGUGAGGAAUAUUGCACAAUGGAGGAAACUCUGAUGCAGCAACGCCGCGUGGAGGAUGACACUUUUCGGAGCGUAAACUCCUUUUAUAUAGGAAGAAGAUGACGGUACUAUAUGAAUAAGCGCCGGCUAACUCCGUGCCAGCAGCCGCGGUAAUACGGAGGGCGCAAGCGUUACUCGGAAUCACUGGGCGUAAAGAGCGUGUAGGCGGAUUAAAAAGUCAGAAGUGAAAUCCUAUAGCUUAACUAUAGAACUGCUUCUGAAACUCUUAAUCUAGAAUAUGGGAGAGGUAGAUGGAAUUUCUGGUGUAGGGGUAAAAUCCGUAGAGAUCAGAAGGAAUACCGAUUGCGAAGGCGAUCUACUAGAACAUUAUUGACGCUGAGACGCGAAAGCGUGGGGAGCAAACAGGAUUAGAUACCCGAGUAGUC
rnacentral:rRNA from 1 species